rnacentral:rRNA from 1 species
AUUGAACGCUGGCGGCAUGCUUUACACAUGCAAGUCGAACGGUAACAGGUCUUCGGAUGCUGACGAGUGGCGAACGGGUGAGUAAUACAUCGGAACGUGCCUAGUAGUGGGGGAUAACUACUCGAAAGAGUAGCUAAUACCGCAUGAGAUCUACGGAUGAAAGCAGGGGACCUUCGGGCCUUGUGCUACUAGAGCGGCUGAUGGCAGAUUAGGUAGUUGGUGGGGUAAAGGCUUACCAAGCCUGCGAUCUGUUGCUGGUCUGAGAGGACGACCAGCCACACUGGGACUGAGACACGGCCCAGACUCCUACGGGAGGCAGCAGUGGGGAAUUUUGGACAAUGGGCGAAAGCCUGAUCCAGCAAUGCCGCGUGCAGGAUGAAGGCCCUCGGGUUGUAAACUGCUUUUGUACGGAACGAAAAGCCUGGGGCUAAUAUCCCCGGGUCAUGACGGUACCGUAAGAAUAAGCACCGGCUAACUACGUG